rnacentral:rRNA from 1 species
GUAAAGCUCUGUUAUUAGGGAAGAACAAGUACCGUUUGAAUAAAGCGGUACCUUGACGGUACCUGACUANAAAGCCCCGGCUAACUACGUGCCAGCAGCCGCGGUAAUACGUAGGUGGCAAGCGUUGUCCGGAAUUAUUGGGCGUAAAGCGCGCGCAGGCGGUCCUUUAAGUCUGAUGUGAAAUCCCNCGGCUCAACCGNGGAUGGUCAUUGGAAACUGGAGGACUUGAGUACAGAAGAGGAGAGUGGAAUUCCACGUGUAGCGGUGAAAUGCGUAGAGAUGUGGAGGAACACCAGUGGCGAAGGCGACUCUCUGGUCUGUAACUGACGCUGAGGCGCGAAAGC